rnacentral:rRNA from 1 species
UACAGAGGGGGCAAGCGUUGUUCGGAAUUACUGGGCGUAAAGGGCGCGUAGGCGGCCUGUUAAGUCAGACGUGAAAUCCCCGGGCUCAACCCGGGAACUGCGUCUGAUACUGGCAGGCUUGAAUCCGGGAGAGGGAUGCGGAAUUCCAGGUGUAGCGGUGAAAUGCGUAGACAUCUGGAGGAACACCGGUGGCGAAGGCGGCAUCCUGGACCGGCAUUGACGCUGAGGCGCGAAAGCGUGGGGAGCAAACAGG